rnacentral:rRNA from 1 species
CUAAGCGUGAAGUGAAGCACAUAAACCUGCUGAAUUUAAGCAUAUAAGUAAGUGGUGGAAAUUAAACCAAUACGGAGCUCUGAUACGCCUAUUUUUUAUAGGCUAUUCAUGAUAUAUGGAUCCUAAAGCUCAGUGCCUUUCGGCAUGCCGACUAUGUAUUCCAUAUUCAAAUG